rnacentral:rRNA from 1 species
UUUACAAUGGAGAGUUUGAUCCUGGCUCAGGAUGAACGCUAGCGGCAGGCUUAAUACAUGCAAGGCGAGGGGGCAGCAAUGUCACCGUCGUACGGGUGCGUAACGCGUAUGCAACCUACCUUCAA